rnacentral:lncRNA from 1 species
CAAGGAAAGCCUUGCAAUUCCUUUUCUAGUAACCUGUCUGACCACAGUGAAAAUAGGUACCUUAUCUGGAGAUUUUCUUCUCCUUCUUCCUCUUCACUAUACCACCUUUAGGGUUCAAUCUUUUCUUUGAACCCUUCUUGCCUAUCUUCUUCUUGGAUAUCCAAUCCAUAAGAAGAAGUGGAGCCUUAUCCUUCUUGAUAUGGCUCUCAGUUGUUUUAAGCAUAUUCAAUAGCUCAGGCAAGG